rnacentral:lncRNA from 1 species
GGAAGGGAAGAGAGAGAGAGGAAGGAAGGAAGGAAAGAAGGAGGGAGGGAGGGAAGGAAGGAAAAAAGAGAGAAGGAGAGAGAGAGGAAGGAAGGAAAGAAGCAGGGAGGGAGGGAGGGAAGAAAGAGAAGGAGAGAGGAAGGAAGGAAGGAGGGAGGGAAGGAAGGAAGGGAGGGAGGAAGGGAGGAAGGAAGGAAGGAAGAAAGGAAGAAAGAAAGAGAGAAAGAUGCAAACUUUACCAAGUUUGUGAUUUGGGCCGAUCCAACACCAUUAUGGCAUCUACCAUCAUGAGGAAAUGCGCUCUAAAACUGGUUUUCUUAUUUUAAGUGCAAGUUACCACAGCACAAUUUCACCACAGCAAAAGAAUGUAGAUGGUCUCAUGGAUUCAUUAUUAAAAUAUUUGAAGUAUAUACAAAUUGGAUUCUUUGAAUUAUUUUUUCCAGCUCAUUUGAGGUUUAGAAUUUCAAAUCCAAUGUCAAAAAUAUUCUCAGUGACAAAAAAAAAAAAAAAAAAUGUCCUUCUCAGUUGCUUUGCAGGAUGUGGAAGAGAUUACUGCUUCAGAGGAAAUAUAUUUUGGAAUGCAUUGCAUCCUGAUGCUACAAUUAGUUCUAUUCUUGUUCUGAAAAUGGAAAGGGGUCAGGGGCUCUGCAUAACUGACACUUAGCAGCAGCGGCAGAUGCAAGCUGGCAGCCAGCAUUCAGCCAGGAGAAGUGGCUUGCUUUUCCCAUCUGAGCCCAACAUAGACAAGUUAACAGAACACUUACACAAGAAUUAUUGUUUCCUUGUUCUUUUAUUUGCUUUUAUUUUGAUGAGCUCAAACACUUUUCCCCAAACAUCAGACCUAUUAUUAGCAACAUUCCCUUAGGGUGCGCUAGGUACAGUUACUUAAACAUGUUGUAAAACCUCCCAGGCCAGGUGUGGUGGGUCACGCCUGUAAUCCCAACACUUUGGGAGGCUAAAGGGGGCAGAUCAUGAGGUCAGGAGAUCGAGACCAUCCUGGCCAACAUGGUGAAACCCCGUCUCUACUAAAAUACAAAAAAUUAGCCAGGCAUGGUGGUGCACGCCUAUAGUCCCAGCUACUCAGGAGGCUGAGGCAGAGGAAUCACUUGAACCUGGGAGGCAGAGGUUGCAGUGAGCCGAGAUCACACCACUGCACUCCAGUCUGGUGACAGAGCGAGACUCUAUCUCAAAAAAAAACAAAACAAACAAACAAACAAAACUCCCAAAUGUGAAUGAAAAAUACCUGCACUUACCUCAGAUGUAGAGUACUAUAAGAAUAUAGUUGAUUCCCUUUGUGAGUAGUUGCUGAGCUAAGAGAAAUCUUAUGGGUCUAUUAACUAAAAGCCCAGAAUAAUAUAAUUAUUAGGAUUUUCUUAAUAUUAUUCACUGAACCUGAAUAAUAGUCUGAAAAAUGAAUAUAACAAAUCAAGCAAACAACAUUACUAGCUUUCAGAAGGCUAAAAAUAAAUGUCUAAAGUAGCAAGUGUUCUGCUGAAAAUAAUCAUGCAAAAUGCACAUAUCUCGCAUACCAUCAAAUCGGACCAUUUUUCAGGGCAUCCUCCAUUAUUGCAUUCCACCCCAUUCACACUCCUUGGCAAUUAAGACACCCAAGUUGUGACAUGCAGAUUCUGGUUUAGCUCAGUUGAGUGCUGUCUGAGUGUGGUGGCAUAGAUGAGUCAGCCAAAUACCUCACCCCACAUUCCUCUCAUACCUAUCCAGAGACCCCAAGAUCAUGGUUAGCAAAUACACAGAAAGCUUCCAGCACAUUACCUUGGCCUUGGGGGUUUGUGCAUUCUUCAAAGUCAACUGAAAUCUGGAGAUUCUGAAUCAUCUUCUCCAACACUGCACUAUACUACACUAGCAUGCUUGCUUCAGCAGCACACAUACUAAAAUUGGAACAAUACAGAGGAGAUUAGCAUGGCCCCUGCGCAAGGAUGACACGCAAAUUUGUGAAGGAUUCCAUAUUUCCAAAGAUUGAGCAUUCUCAGGCAUAAGUAGGAGCUGAGCUAGGAAAAUGCAAAGGCAUAAGAAUGAUACAAUGGACUCUGGGGACUCAGGGGAAAGGGUGGGGGUGGAGUGAGGGAUAAAAGACUACAAAUUGGGUUCACUGUAUACUGCUCAGGUGAUGGGUGCACCAAUAUCUCACAAAUCAUAACUAAAGAACUUACUCAUGUAACCAAAUACCACCUGUUCUCCAAAAACCUACGGAAAUAAAUAAUUUGAAUAUAUUAGCCAAUAUUUAAGAGCAGGGAGGAUUACUAGUCUAAGUUGAUAAGAUUAUAUCUCUAAGAUAACCAUUUCCAGCUUUUUAAGGCACUGAAUAGUGCUUUUGUACAUAGGAUUUUUAAUAAGAAUUCCUAUGACUGAGUAAUGUUUGUAUUCAUGUUAGGUUUUUAUUUCUUUGGGUAAGACCAUUAAAACUGCCUUUGCAUUUAAGAUUCUGACUGAGUGUGGUAGCUCACACCUGUUAUCUCAGAGCUUUGGGAGGCCAGGGUGGGAGGCUCGCUUGAGGCCAGGAGUUUGAUAGCAGCCUGGGCAGCAUAGCAAAACCUCAUCUCUACAAAAAAUGCAAAAAAAAAAAAAAAAUUGGCCAGGUGUGGUGGCAUGCACCUGCAGUCCCAACUACCUGGAAGGCUGAGGCAGGAGGAUCCCUUGAGCCCAGGAGUUCAAGGCUACAGUGAGCUAUGAUGGCACCACUACACUCCAGCCUGGGUGACAGAGCAAGAAUCUGCCUCUUAAAAAAAGGGGUUGGGGGCGGGGUGGAUGAAGAUUCAGAUGAAGCAGAAAAUGAAAAUAAUGUUUUAGGAAUGCAAAAUAGGCCAGUGGCUCACGCCUGUAAUCCCAGCACUUUGGGAGGCCGAGGUGAGUGGAUCACCUGAGGUCAGGAGUUCAAGAACAGCCUAGCCAAUAUGGUGAAACCCUG